rnacentral:rRNA from 1 species
GAUGAACGCUGGCGGCGUGCUUAACACAUGCAAGUCGAACGGAAAGGCUCCUGCUUUCAGGGGUACUCGAGUGGCGAACGGGUGAGUAACACGUGUGUGAUCUGCCCAUCACUUCGGGAUAAGCCUGGGAAACUGGGUCUAAUACCGGAUAGGACGAUGGUUUGGAUGCCAUUGUGGAAAGAUUUUCCGGUGUGGGAUGAGCUCGCGGCGUAUCAGCUUGUUGGUGGGGUAAUGGCCAACCAAGGCGUCGACGGGUAGCCGGCCUGAGAGGGUGUACGGCCACAUUGGGACUGAGAUACGGCCCAGACUCCUACGGGAGGCAGCAGUGGGGAAUAUUGCACAAUGGGCGCAAGCCUGAUGCAGCGACGCCGCGUGCGGGAUGACGGCCUUCGGGUUGUAAACUCCUUUCGCUAGGGACGAAGCGCAAGUGACGGUACCUGGAGAAGAAGCACCGGCUAACUACGUG